UUAGAGGUUAGUUUUAAGUUAAGAAUUGUUGAUUGUUAAUCAAAAGGUUAUCCUCUAAGU
rnacentral:tRNA from 1 species